rnacentral:rRNA from 1 species
AGUGAACGCUGGCGGUAGGCCUAACACAUGCAAGUCGAACGGCAGCACAGUAAGAGCUUGCUCUUACGGGUGGCGAGUGGCGGACGGGUGAGGAAUACAUCGGAAUCUACUUUUUCGUGGGGGAUAACGUAGGGAAACUUACGCUAAUACCGCAUACGACCUACGGGUGAAAGCAGGGGAUCUUCGGACCUUGCGCGAUUGAAUGAGCCGAUGUCGGAUUAGCUAGUUGGCGGGGUAAAGGCCCACCAAGGCGACGAUCCGUAGCUGGUCUGAGAGGAUGAUCAGCCACACUGGAACUGAGACACGGUCCAGACUCCUACGGGAGGCAGCAGUGGGGAAUAUUGGACAAUGGGCGCAAGCCUGAUCCAGCCGUACCGCGUGGGUGAAGAAGGCCUUCGGGUUUUAAAGCCCUUUUGUUGGGAAAGAAAAGCAGCAGGUUAAUACCCCGCUGUUCUGACGGUACCCAAAGAAUAAGCACCGGCUAACUUCGUG